UACGUAGGGACCAAGCGUUGUCCGGAAUCAUUGGGCGUAAAGAGCAUGUAGGCGGCUUGUUAAGUCUUGCGUGAAAUCUCGGGGCUCAACCCCGAGCGGUCGUGAGAAACUGGCAGGCUAGAGUGCGGGAGAGGAGAGUGGAAUUCCUGGUGUAGCGGUGAAAUGCGCAGAUAUCAGGAAGAACACCCGUGGCGAAGGCGGCUCUCUGGAACGCAACUGACGCUGAGACGCGAAAGCGUGGGGAGCAAACAGG
rnacentral:rRNA from 1 species